CUUGACGACCAUAGAGCAUUGGAACCACCUGAUCCCAUCCCGAACUCAGUAGUGAAACGAUGCAUCGCCGAAGCAUUGGAACCACCUGAUCCCAUCCCGAACUCAGUAGUGAAACGAUGCAUCGCCGAUGGUAGUGUGGGGUUUCCCCAUGUGAGAGUAGGUCAUCGUCAAGA
rnacentral:rRNA from 1 species